rnacentral:rRNA from 1 species
UUUCGCAAUGCCCGAAAGGGUGACGAAGCGACGCCGCGUGAGUGAGGAAGGCCUUCGGGUUGUAAAGCUCUGUCAGGAGUUAAGAAAUAUAAGUGUGUUAAUACCACAUUUAUUUGACGAAGGCUCCAAAGGAAGCCACGGCUAACUCUGUGCCAGCAGCCGCGGUAAUACAGAGGUGGCAAGCGUUGUUCGGAAUUAUUGGGCGUAAAGAGCACGUAGGUGGGUUUGUAAGUCAGAUGUGAAAGCCUUCUGUUCAACGGAAGAAUUGCAUCUGAAACUGCGAGUCUUGAGUGUAGGAGGGGAGAAUGGAACUUCUGGUGGAGCGGUGAAAUGUGUAGAUAUCAGAAGGAACGCCGGCGGCGAAAGCGAUUCUCUGGCCUAUUACUGACACUCAGUGUGCGAAAGCUAGGGGAGCAAACGGGAUUAGAUACCCCGGUAGUCCUAGCUGUAAACGAUGGGCACUAAGUAGAGGGGUUUUA